rnacentral:lncRNA from 1 species
CUCAGAGGAAACUCCUCCCCUUUGUCUCUCCUUUGCAGCCUUCUUCUUCUUCUUACUCUUCUCCUGCAAUUCAGGUAGAAUUCACUUUUUUAGAUCCAUUUUUUUCCAGGGAAUUAUCAUUUCUCUACAGGUUACAGACUCUUACCGUUUCCUUGGCCGUUGUAACGUUGGUACCACCGACAUUUUCAAUUGUUCUCCCUGCAAAAUAUCAAGUAAAGAGAGUUUAGACAUAAUGGCCACGUCUAUAGAUAAGUCAGCUUUGGUUUCUUUCAUCAUUGUGGUCCUGAAUCUUUAGAUGUAAGAUCUUAGUUAGAAACUAGAAUACAAAAACAGUGUUGAGUAACUUUUCUCUGUAACUGUUUUUCAAAAGGUUUUGAGUUGAGAGAACAUUGCAAGCAAAGACUUAAAGAGAGAAAAAUGUUACCUGAAGGCAGAGACCUGAGUUCAUCUCCGGCUACAACAACACGUCUCGCAGGAUAAUGUUGCCGGUAAAAAACCUGGAAGAUCCCAUUCAUACAUCCAAACUGUUUAUUUAGAUUUGGAUUCUCAUCUGACAAGUUAUACAAAAGCUUUGCCGACAUCUUCUUAGCUCUGGUUCGUAUAAGGUUUCGUCUUCUUUAUUUUCUCAUGUACAGUUCUUGAAAAUCUUCAGUUUCAGGAUUCUCCUUUGUUAUGUGUCUCAUUGAAAGUAGAAGAAGAGAGAGGAGGACAACGUAGAACCCAGCAUUUAGACAACGG